UCUGCUGCUCUCUGCUGCUGCAGCAGCUACAGAACGCGGUUCACACAGUGUCGGGUGAAGAGGAGCAGUGGUGCUGAAGAGCUAGAGACAAGAGGAGGCCAGCAGCAGACAGCGUGGGUGAGAUAGAGCAGAGAGGACAGAUUUGGAAAGUUAUGUGCAUAGCUGAGCAUGCCAGUCAGUUUAACAUUCUUAAUCAGAAAAGUCCUGGGCGUUAUGGCAUCUUCCAGAUUGGCGAUGAGGAAUGGUGUCAAAAUGAAAAAUGCGGAAGCAAGAACCUUUGCGAUAUGCCAUGUUCAUACUUACAGGAUUCAAACCUAAAUGAUGAUAUACAAUGUGCUAUCAAAAUCAACAAACUCCAAGGAUUUACGGCUUGGCCUGAAUGGGUAGCCAAUUGUCAGGGUAAAGAUCUCACAUUAUAUACACAAGGAUGUUAGCUGAACCCACUGAAUGGAAACUGACAAAGAGAUUCAGAUUCUACUAUCCUUGUCAUCUUCUACUUUCUUCUGUGGAUGAUAUAACCUAAUAAAC